AUUGAACGCUGGCGGCAUGCCUUACACAUGCAAGUCGAACGGUAACAGGUCUUCGGAUGCUGACGAGUGGCGAACGGGUGAGUAAUACAUCGGAACGUGCCUAGUAGUGGGGGAUAACUACUCGAAAGAGUGGCUAAUACCGCAUGAGAUCUACGGACGAAAGCAGGGGAUCGCAAGACCUUGUGCUACUAGAGCGGCCGAUGGCAGAUUAGGUAGUUGGUGGGAUAAAAGCUGACCAAGCCGACGAUCUGUAGCUGGUCUGAGAGGAGGAUCAGCCACACUGGGAAGGAGACACGGCCCAGACUCCUACGGGAGGCAGCAGUGGGGAAUUUUGGACAAUGGGCGAAAGCCUGAUCCAGCAAUGCCGCGUGAAGGAUGAAGGCCUUCGGGUUGUAAACUGCUUUUGUCCGGAACGAAAAGCCCAGAGUUAAUACCCUGGGGUCAUGACGGUACCGUAAGAAGAAGCACCGGCUAACUACGUGCCAGCCGCCGCCGUAA
rnacentral:rRNA from 1 species